GACCAGCUCCUACGGGAGGCAGCAGUGAGGAAUAUUGGUCAAUGGCCGCAGGGCUGAACCAGCCAAGUCGCGUGAGGGAGGACGGCCCUACGGGUUGUAAACCUCUUUUGCCGGGGAGCAACGGGCGUCACGUGUGGCGCCACUGAGAGUACCCGGAGAAAAAGCAUCGGCUAACUCCGUGCCAGCAGCCGCGGUAAUACGGAAGGUCCGGGCGUUAUCCGGAUUUAUUGGGUUUAAAGGGAGCGUAGGCCGGUCUUUAAGCGUGCCGUGAAAUUUUGUGGCUCAACCAUGAGAGUGCGGCGCGAACUGGAGACCUUGAGUGCGCGGAAGGCAGGCGGAAUUCGUGGUGUAGCGGUGAAAUGCUUAGAUAUCACGAAGAACCCCGAUUGCGAAGGCAGCCUGCCGCAGCGUUACUGACGCUGAAGCUCGAAAGCGCGGGUAUCGAACAGGAUUAGAUACCCUAGUA
rnacentral:rRNA from 1 species